rnacentral:rRNA from 1 species
GCAGUCGGACGGUAGCACAGAGAGCUUGCUCUCGGGUGACGAGUGGCGGACGGGUGAGUAAUGUCUGGGGAUCUGCCCGAUAGAGGGGGAUAACCACUGGAAACGGUGGCUAAUACCGCAUAACGUCGCAAGACCAAAGAGGGGGACCUUCGGGCCUCUCACUAUCGGAUGAACCCAGAUGGGAUUAGCUAGUAGGCGGGGUAAUGGCCCACCUAGGCGACGAUCCCUAGCUGGUCUGAGAGGAUGACCAGCCACACUGGAACUGAGACACGGUCCAGACUCCUACGGGAGGCAGCAGUGGGGAAUAUUGCACAAUGGGCGCAAGCCUGAUGCAGCCAUGCCGCGUGUAUGAAGAAGGCCUUCGGGUUGUAAAGUACUUUCAGCGGGGAGGAAGGCGAUGCGGUUAAUAACCGCGUCGAUUGACGUUACCCGCAGAAGAAGCACCGGCUAACUCCGUGCCAGCAGCCGCGGUAAUACGGAGGGUGCAAGCGUUAAUCGGAAUUACUGGGCGUAAAGCGCACGCAGGCGGUCUGUUAAGUCAGAUGUGAAAUCCCCGGGCUUAACCUGGGAACUGCAUUUGAAACUGGCAGGCUUGAGUCUUGUAGAGGGGGGUAGAAUUCCAGGUGUAGCGGUGAAAUGCGU